UCCCUGGUGGUCCAGUGGUUAUGACUCUGCACUGCCAAUGCAGAGGGCAUGGGUUCGAUCCCUCAUCAGGGAA